rnacentral:rRNA from 1 species
UACAGAGGGGGCAAGCGUUGUUCGGAAUUACUGGGCGUAAAGGGCGCGUAGGCGGCCUGCUAAGUCGAACGUGAAAUCCCUGGGCUCAACCCAGGAACUGCGUCCGAUACUGGUCGGCUUGAAUCCGGGAGAGGGACGUGGAAUUCCAGGUGUAGCGGUGAAAUGCGUAGAUAUGUGGAAGAACACCAGUGGCGAAGGCGGUUUUCUAGCUUAUACCUGACGCUGAGGCGCGAAAGCAAGGGGAGCAAACAGG